ensembl:misc_RNA 7SK 7SK RNA
GGAUGUGAGGAUGAUGUGGCUGCAGCAUCUGCCACCCCAUUGAUUGCCAGGGUUGAUUCCUCUGAUCUGGCUGGCUAGGCAGAUGUCCCCUUCCUCCCUUAGUGCUCCAUGUGCAUCCUUCUAGAAAAUGUGUGCUCAGUGGGAGAGGAUGACUUUCCCAGGUAGAAGAGGAUGGUUCUUGGGUCAAGGGUAUAUGAGAAGCUUCGCCCCUCUGCUAGAACCUCCAAACAAGUUCUUUACUAAGACAAACCUCAUAGGACUGGUGUAAGUAUUAAAUGACUAUACAUGUAGCACAUAGAAUAAUACUGACCCAUGAUAUGUACUAUAAAGUGUUAAAGGGUCAAUUAUUUUCU